rnacentral:sRNA from 1 species
GCUGGGUGUGGUGGAGCACAUCUGUAAUCCCAGCCACCAGGAGCCUGAGGCAGGAGAAUAGCAAGUUCCAGGACAGCCUGGGCAAUUUAGGGAGGCACUGUCUCAAAAUGAAAAGUCCUGGGGAUGUAGCUCAGUGUUUGCCUAGU